rnacentral:lncRNA from 1 species
GGACAGCAUGCCGCGCAAACAUCUGUACGAACCAUCAGAACCAUCCUGGCUGUAAAAUGCAGUGAGGCCAUGCCAGAGCAUCCCAAGGGAAGCGUCCCCGAAGGAGUCCGAGACCUGAGGGACAUUACAAACAGUGGGGAGAGCAUCGUUCUGAGCUCAGGCAGUGUUCUGGCUGUGGCGCUGUCCUCUACCUCUAGGAGCCUCAGCUUCCCUUGCCUGGACAAUGGGACCAUCUUGCCCCACUCGGGUUGUUGUCAUGGAUGCACAGCCAGGCGCCUUGAGGAGUUCCGUGGUUGGCGCCGAUGCCCAGUACCAGCGGCACUGGAAUUCGCUGACUCCAUCCUUCUCUCUAGGGCUGCAGUGGCUGCCCCGGGUUCCCAGCCACCAGUUUCCCCAGCAGCCUUUUUGUUUGUUUGGAACGGUUUCUUGGGGUCUCCUAGAGAAAAGAUUCUCCGCUGAGCUCCAGCAAACAAGCCCGCUCUCCACCCCCUGCUUGGAGGGCUCCCAGCUGCUCUCUUGGCUGCCCGGCUGAGAAGAAAUGAUGUCAGGAAUGUUUAUCUCUUGGGGAAGCAGCAGACUCCUUUCAUGAAAAGGGGCGCAGUGGGUCUUGCCAAAGCAUCCUCACAUGGUGCUGUGGGAAUAUCCGGUCCCUAUGUCCGCCUCCAAGAUGGGCUGGGCGGGCUGGGCUGGUGGUCUGGGUCUUGGUUUUCUCAGCCUCAUCAUGCUCAUUUUAUGCCACAAAACACGUUAGUGGCUCCUGACCGAAGGGGCUACCCCAGCUCCCAUCCUGAGGGGCCGUCUCGGGGCUCCACAUCAAGGCCUCCCUUCCUGGCCAGCCUGGAGGUGGCGCUGUCCUUAGAUGCCCUGUGGCAAGAAGACGCAGGGCCCCUCAGUGAGGCUCCCGUCCACACAUCACCGUUAGGAGCCUCUGCUCUGGAAUCGUCCUAGCCGGAGCUUGAAACCGGGCUCCACCACGUUGGAAAAAUGACUCAGUCUGUCUGAGUCUCAGUUUUCCAACCUGCAGAGUGGCAACAGCAAGGAUUCCUGCCGCCACAGGUGGUCGUGAGGCCUGAAGGGGUCCCUGUGGCCGGGCGUUCAGCACAGGUGAGCACGGGCACGUGGAGAGUGGGGCAGAAUCAGGAGCCACUGGGAUUUUAGUCACCUGACUAUGAAGUCAGAAAAUCGGAUAAUACAGAAAACGUCAAGGAAGAGAACCCACAGCGCUCGCAGCCCCCGGGGCCUGGAGACGCACACUGCUAGCUUUUGUUACGCGUCCCUCAGGCCUGUUUGUAGGCUUGCGUGUUUCACAGACUCGAAUCGCUGUUGAAUGAGCACAGCGUACGUCUGUAUAUGCGUGCUCGUUUUUCUUAAGACCGGGCAUGAUGUUGCUUAACCCACUUCUUUUAAACUUAAAAAUGUAUCGAGAACAUUUUCUCCAAAUCAUUCCAUUUCACCAGAU